rnacentral:rRNA from 1 species
UACAGAGGUCUCGAGCGUUGUUCGGAUUCAUUGGGCGUAAAGGGCGCGUAGGCGGCGGGGUAAGUCUGGUGUGAAAUCUCGGAGCUCAACUCCGAAAUUGCACUGGAUACUGCUCUGCUAGAGGGCUGGAGAGGAGAUCGGAAUUCACGGUGUAGCAGUGAAAUGCGUAGAUAUCGUGAGGAAGACCAGUGGCGAAGGCGGAUCUCUGGACAGUUCCUGACGCUGAGGCACGAAGGCUAGGGGAGCAAACGGG